UCCAAUAGGUGUAGUUGGUUUAUCACGCAAGUCUAACACCGUCUUGUCUAAUAAACAAACGGGCGCCACUUGAGGUCCCCGGUUCAAGCCCGGGCGAAA
rnacentral:tRNA from 13 species